rnacentral:lncRNA from 1 species
GCUCCAAAGAAGAGGGAAAAUACAAAAAUAAUAUUCUGGUCCGUGGAAUAAGGAAGCAGCUUAUACCAAUAAGAAAUACAAAAACUAGGGAGAAGGUGGACAGAGCAAUAGAAGGCGCACAAAGGGCAGCCGCCAUGGCGAGAACCAAAGUGGAAAUUGCGAAUUCAAGGACUGCACACGCAAGAGCGAAAGCUGACGCUGCUGACCAGGCUGCGCUGGCCGCCCGCCAGGAGUGCGACAUCGCGAGAGCUGUAGCCAGGGAGCUGUCACCUGAUUUCUACCAACCAGGCCCCGAUUAUAUCAAACAGAGAUUGCAGGAAGGUGUAGAUGCUAAAGAAAACCCAGAAGAAAAGGUACCAGAAAAGCCACCUACCCCAAAGGAAUCUCCUCAUUUUUAUCGCAAAGGCACGACACCCCCGAGGUCUCCUGAGGCAAGUCCCAAACAGAGCCACUCUCCCCAACCUCCCUCCCCAAAGUCCAUGAAGAAGCAAAACCCCACCUCUGGGGCCAGACUCAAUCAAGAUAAAAGGAGUAUGGCUGACGAGCAGGUGACAACUGUGGUCAAUAAGCCCUUGAUGUCAAAGGCUCCCUCAAAGGAGGUCGGAGCCAUCGUGUCCCAGUCCAAGUACUCUGGCCGCCACCACAUCCCCACCCCCAGUAAUGGGGAGCUGCAUUCUCAGUAUCACGGCUACUAUGUGAAACUGAACGCCCCCCAGCACCCUCCAGAACACGUGGGGGACGAUGAUGAAGCGAGCCAGUCUUCCUCAGCACUGGUGCACAAGCCAUCGCCUAACAAGUGGAGUCCCCCCAAACCUGUGACAAAACCAGUUGCCAAAGAAAGCAAAGCUGAGCCAAAAGCUAAGAAGUCUGAACUUGCUAUACCAAAGAAUCCAGCAAGCAACGAUUCGUGCCCUUUGGAAAAAGAAGCCAAUUCAGGCCCUAAUUCAGUCAUGAUUGUCCUUGUCAUGCUGUUGAAUAUCGGGUUGGCCAUUCUUUUUGUUCACUUUCUAACUUGAUUGGAAUUAGGAAAGUAGGGAGCUGGGGAAACGACUGCCCGAGGAAUGCGGUCGGAGGAUUGUGUUGCUGUGGACGAGGUUCCAACAUUCACUCCUAUCUCAUUAGAAGAAAUAGGUAGCAGCAUCACUCACCAGUCUUAUGCCGUGACCUGCUGCUUUAACAUCUCCUGGAAUGUUCCGGGAGAGAACGUUUCGUUUGCUUGCACGACUCUGCUCAUUUUUGCUGUUUAUUUAAAUACGAUGUACAGUCACCUACCACCUGCGGUCCUGGCUGGACUAAACG